UUGAAAACCACAAGUGCGCAGCUAAUAGUACUGAAGAAUGAUGGUGGAAGUUCAUCCUGUGUGGGUGUAUCGUGUGCAUCACCUUCUGUCCCGUCUGAAGAGUUGAGCUCAUCUCCUUGUCAAGUGUCGUACUCAAGGCCUAAACAGCUGCUACUUUGGCAAAGUUUCCUGGGACUUCAUAAGCUGUGAUCAGUGACGCUGUUACGAGAAAAAUUGCGGCCUUUAAAUAUCACCUGAAGGGAAACAUCAGGAACCUCAGCAGAAUACCACAAACUUUUAUGUCAUUAAUGUCAUUUACCACAGUUAACACCACUUUCUAUUCCCUGUGUUGUAGUUUUUGUAUAUUUACAUGAUAAUAAAGUUGUGUGUAUUGUA